GGGUUUAAACCCAGACUGGAAUACCUCAAGAAUGCCAUGCACAUUUAAGAAAGACUGCAACUGCUUCAGUACCACUUUUUCUAAAAUGUUGGACAUAAAAGGAAGUUUAGAGAUAGGUUGAAAAUUGUCAAAAACAGGUGUCCAGGUUUGGUUUUUUUAAUCAAAGGCUGGACCACAGCAUGUUGUAGGCACUUUGGUACUAUUCCUGUAGUCAGGCUGCUGUUAAUUAUAUUAAGAACGUUAAGUCCAACAAUGUCCCAGAUUUCUUUAAAAAAUCGCGCAGGGACAACAUCGCUUGGAGAACCCGAGGGUUUCAAUUGAGCAACAAUUUCUUUUAGAGCAGGAAGUGACACAAGCUCAAACUGAUCCAUAACAGCUGAGCAAGUGACAGAUGGAUCAUGGGAAGGAAGUGAGAUGUUUGCUCUGAUGGCGGCGACCUUGUCAAUGGAAAACUGUAGAAACGCCUCACAGGUUUCAGUGCAGGUUACUAAGUUGAUGGAUUGUGGGACAUUUAGUAUACAGUUUAUAGUGCUAAAAAGGACACAGGGUUUAUGACAGUUAUUACGUAUAACAUCUGAAAAAUACUGCGUUUUUUCCGCUUUAACAACUUUCUGAUAUCUACACCAGGAGCCCUUUAAAAUAUCAUAAGACACAUGCAGCCUGUCUUUUUUCCAUUUGCGUUCAGCCCUUCUGUACUCCUGUCUGGCAGUACGAGUGGACUCAGUUAACCAUGGUUCAGACUUAACUUUAGGGCGAACAGCUUUUAGUGGAGCAAUAGUAUCAAGGAUGUCUUGACUCUUGACAAGAGUUAAAGAAAGUAACCCCUCUGUAUCACCAGUAAUAGGAUAUGCUCUAUUAUCCACAACAUUUUUGAAGGCAGCAGAAAACUGAACAGCGGUGGAGGGUUUAAGCAUGCGACGAAAAUGAGCAGACUGUGGACACUGUUUACCAACAACACAAGGGAUAGUGACGUCAAAUAGAACAGGCAUGUGAUCGGAGAAAAUUGGGUCGCAUAUCUCAACAUUACAUAUUGAUAGACCAUAAGACAGGACAAGAUCAAGAGUAUGCCUGUGUUCGUGCGUGGGGCCACGUAGUGCUGUAGCGACGCGUCGACUUCAAAAUAUCGUUGACAACAUAUUUCCUCGAUGUUGGAGCAUUUAAAGCGGAGGCACCCCCUUGUCUCUCGUGGAGGGAACAAUGAUAAGACAAAGCAAAGAACCUUGCCGUCCUAUCUUGGGAAAGAGGCGCAAUGCACUCCACAGAAGGCAGCCGAACUCAGCAAAAGAAUCUUGAGAUGUCCUUUAGGUGAUCCAGACAGGCUGGAC